rnacentral:SRP_RNA from 1 species
GCGGGGCGUGGUGGUGCAUGCCUGUAGUCCCGGCUACUCGGGAGGCUAAGGCUGGAGGAUCGCUUGAGUCCAGGAGUUCUGGGCUGUAGUGCGCUAUGCUGAUCAGGUGUCCACACUAAGUUCAGCAUCAAUAUAGUGACCUCCCGGGAGCGGGGGACCACCAGGUUGCCUAAGGAGGGUUGAACUGGCCCAGGUUGGAAACGGAACAGGUCAAAACUCCCAUGCUGCCGGGAGUGGUGGCUCACGCCUGUAACCCCAGCACUUUGGGAGGCAGAGGCGGGUGGAUCACGAGGUCAAGAGAUCAAGACCAUCCUGGUCAACAUGGUGAAACCCUGUCUCU